GACAAUCGUCACAAAAUUGUCCUCUGGAACGGGCUGUGACAAGGGAGGAAAAAAAUUCACAUGAAGGUUCAAUCUGAGAAACGCGGCUAGAGUAAGCCGCUGGUUUUGAGUUUGUCUUGCAGAGAGGGAAAAAAUGGCAUUGUGCCUUAUUCAUGGCUUAUCCUGGGCUGAAACCAGUCAAAAAGGCCCAAGUGUGUUCCGACCAUUUUUAUAUGAGGAUUUCGCGCCCUCUUUUGUAACUUUUUUUUUAUUUUCACGAGAAUGCAGUAAGCUAGGCUAUGCGAUAAAUGAAGAGGUAAUCACGGUGUGCUUGUGAGGGGUCUAGCAGGCUUCUUAUAUUUUCGAAAGUCAUGCAAGAGCCACGCCGAGCAUCUCUGUCAACCUUAGCUUUAUUUCCUCUGUGCUUAUCACGUUGCAACGCAUGCUGCAUCGUGCAACAAUAAACGAGAUGCCUGCUUCUA